AGUGAACGCUGGCGGUAGGCCUAACACAUGCAAGUCGAACGGCAGCACAGUAAGAGCUUGCUCUUACGGGUUGCGAGUGGCGGACGUGUGAGGAAUACAUCGGAAUCUACUUUUUCGUGGGGGAUAACGUAGGUAAACUUACUCUAAUACCGCAUACGACCUACGGGUGAAAGCAUGGGAUCUUCUGACCUUGUGCGAUUGAAUGAGCCGAUGUCGGAUUAGCUAGUUGGCGGGGUGAAGGCCCACCAAGGGGACGAUCCGUAGCUGGUCUGAGAGGAUGAUCAGCCACACUGGAACUGAGACACGGACCAGAGUCCUGCGGGACGGAGCAGUGGGGAAUAUUGGGCAAUAGUGGCAAACAUUAUCCAACCGUCGCGCGUGGGUGACGAAGACCUUCGGGUUGUAAAGACCUUUUGUUGGGAAAGAAAAGCAGCAGGUUAAUACCACGCUGUUCUGACGGUACCCAAAGAAUAAGCACCGGCUAACUUCGUG
rnacentral:rRNA from 1 species